UACGUAGGGUGCGAGCGUUAAUCGGAAUUACUGGGCGUAAAGCGUGCGCAGGCGGUUUUGUAAGCCAGAUGUGAAAGCCCCGGGCUCAACCUGGGAAUGGCAUUUGGGACUGCAAGGCUUGAGUGCGGCAGAGGAGACUGGAAUUCCUGGUGUAGCAGUGAAAUGCGCAGAUAUCAGGAGGAACACCGGUGGCGAAGGCGGGUCUCUGGGCAGUAACUGACGCUGAGGCGCGAAAGCUAGGGGAGCAAACGGG
rnacentral:rRNA from 1 species